rnacentral:pre_miRNA from 1 species
CAUAUACUCCCUCCGUUCAAAAAUACUUGUCGGAGAAAUGUAUAAAAAUAGAUGUAUCUAGAACUAAAAUACGUCUAGAUACAUCCAUUCCUUCGACAAGUAUUUCCGGACGGAGGGAGUAUAAG